GUGACAAUAACUGACGGACUGGAGCGUCAACCGGCCAGUAGAGAAGCUAUACUGGAGAUGCGUGCUUCGCGCGCCUUAUCUCGCCAACACGCUCGCUGGCGAGCGGGAAAGAGAGAGAGAACCACAGGUAACCCUUGCUGACUAGUAUCCACAUGCUAAACUAAAUAAGAAUAUUGACUAUUGGUGACAAUAACUGACGGACUGGAGCGUCAACCGGCCAGUAGAGAAGCUAUACUGGAGAUGCGUGCUUCGCGCGCCUUAUCUCGCCAACACGCUCGCUGGCGAGCGGGAAAGAGAGAGAGAACCACAGGUAACCCUUGCUGACUAGUAUCCACAUGCUAAACUAAAUAAGAAUAUUGACUAUUGGUGACAAUAACUGACGGACUGGAGCGUCAACCGGCCAGUAGAGAAGCUAUACUGGAGAUGCGUGCUUCGCGCGCCUUAUCUCGCCAACACGCUCGCUGGCGAGCGGGAAAGAGAGAGAGAACCACAGGUGGACGCACAGAGCGCUGUGAAAACAGUAAAGGAAGUCAAGGAAGAUAAAGAAUUGGCCUAGAUUAACCAACGUGUAUAUGUAACUGAUUAUUUUAUAUUUGACAUAAGGUCAGAUGGGGUAAGAUAAACAUAUUUAUUUUAUUUAUUCUAACAGUAUUACUGUGACACACUGUAGUUCAUUUCUUUUAACAUUAGAAUGAAGGUAAGCAAUGCUGACGUGUCUUUUUAUUAUAAAAACACUAGUGAAAAAUAAGUCGGGGCAAAUAUGUAACAAUUCAUAUUCAUUCAUAUAUUUAUUCAUAAUAAUUCAUAUUAUAUGUCACAAUAUUAUUUAAAAUUAAUUAUUUACAAAACAUGAUUUGUAACAUUUUACAUAAUAAUAAAAAAAUAAAAUUAAUAUUAAAUCUAAGUUUUUAGGUACUUGUUUUGUACUCUAUAAACUUAUUAAAGCUAUAAAAAGUGUGCUCGAUAAGCCAUUUUUCAGUUGCAUUUUAAAACUCAUUAAUGACGGCGCAUUCGCAAUUAAAAAUCAUAUAUGAUUAUUUACAUUCUUUUGGUUACAUAAAUAAUAUAAACAAAUUUUUAAAAAGCGUUUUGCGGUACAUGUGGUGCUACUUUACCGCACUAGUGCGAAAAUUAGCAUAUUACGUUACUGUGUCGAACAUUUAAAGGGCCAUAUGUACUGUAAAACGUUGUACGAUACAUGUGCGAAUAGGUAAUCCGCGACUCGUGUCGAUUUAAAACACUCCCUUCGAUCGUGUUUUAAUUUAUCGCCACUCGUUUCGAAUUUCCUAUUUUUCGCACUUGUAUCGUAAUGUACUAUUAUGCAACCGUUGUUUAAGAGAGGUCAAAAAAGUCGAGUAAAACUCUGAGAGUCUAUCGCGAAAAAAGAAAAUCUAAUUUUCGUUAUCUAACUUCUCUAUCACUCUUGCAUAUUUGAGCGAUAAAGAGGCAGAUAACUAAAUUUAGAUAUUCGCGUUUCCCUGUAGGCCGAUUGUAAACAAACCGCCUUGAUGCAUCAAUGUCAUAUUUUAUUAUCUGUGAAAACUUGUCAAAAUAGUUUACGGCACAGUAUGUAUAAGUUACUCUAUGGUUUACGAUAGGUGCUAGUGCUGCACUCUGGCGGCAGAACAUUGCGGUAAUACUCCCUAUUAACCUUUUGACCGCCAAAGACUUCAUAUGACGCGCGCGGCGACAGCCCAAUAUCAACCUUCAUGCGUACUGACAAGUUUCACGAUUACACGCCGCGUACGAUAGGCGUGGCGUUCAAAAGGUUAAUGGCGUUCCUUUGCACCACAGUGCGUGCUUAAGACACAUUUUUCAUGCGCCGAAAAAAAAUAACUAGAUAUGUUUGUCUUACCCCACAUGACUUUUAAUAAUAUGUUUACUCGGGUAUUUCCUAAUGGAAAUUAAAGUUUUCUUUAAUAGACGAUUAUUUUGACAUAAUAAAAGGCACCUAAGCUUUUUUUAUGCACGUGCCUAUUUAAAAUAAUAAAUUAUACCUGUUUUUAAACGUUUUUGUCAUGGCGUCAUUAUCCGUUUGCAAAUGAAAUUAUAUUUUUCUAAUAAUAACUUAAAUAUCAACGAUACGAUUUAAUUGUAUUCGUAAACAUUAUUGUGAAUACUAUUAAUUUUAACGCCACGACGCCGGGAUUUUAUUGAAUUAUUAAUUAUUUCAAUUUAAUUAGAAAUACAAUACAAUGUUAUCAGAACAACUAGUGAUAAUAAAUUAUUAUUUUUAUUUAUUUAUUUGUUUUACGUAAUACCAAAUGAACUAAAUAGCAAUAUUAUUAAUAGCCUUAAACAAAUUAAUAUAUAACAUAGAUUUUAUUAUAGAUUAAGCUCUUUCACCAUAUCCUGUAUUCGACUGCCAAUAUUGUGAUAUUUUUUUUAGCCUUUUAACCUAAAUAAAUGUCAUAUACGUAGAAAGUGACCAAGGCGCCCAGUGCCCAGGGCUGGAGUCGAACUAGUGUCCUCUGCCAUCGCGGCAGCUGCCGAACCCGUCGGCCCCCCGGGCCACGGCGACAUGGCUCGAAUUUUUCCAAGUAUAUGCCUUUUUACAGAGGCUGUCAAUACCUAAAGCGCGCACACUGUCUAUUUGUAUCGGAGUAAAUGCGAUAGCACUGUCGCAUGUUACUGGGCCUGGGCAAGGGAAUAAUAAGAAAAAUAUUUAAAUAAAAAAAAGUGGAUUAUUAGUGUAAUAUUUUACGCAACCACGGUUUAGAUAUAAAUGUUUUGAAAUUGUGAUUUUAAUUGCAGACCCAUAAGUCAAAACAAUAAAGACAUAAAACCGUUUAAUUGUGAUUUUAAGACCAAUCUUUGCAAUUAUUUUCUAUCGAGCCGAUUUCGUUCAAUCAUGUAUCGAGUACAACCACGGUCUUUGAAAUAUAAUUAAUAUGAACAUAUAUUUUUCUUACUUGACUAAAACAAAUAGUCUUUCUUAAAAAACUGUUUAAGUAACAUCAAUUUCAAGGACAUUGGGUGUUGACAGCCUCUUAACCAGUUGAUCGACACUAUUUUAUAUAAGUAACAAGCAAUAGUAAACUUUAUAAGUAUAAAGGUUCAUUGUAUACUGCAACCUUUGCUAUGGCUCACUGUAGAUCGCGUAGGGCUUUUUAUAAGUUCGUGUCAUCCGAGAUGACGCGCAGGUUUGUCAAAUCUAACCAUUAACAACAUGACAAUAGGAGUCAAGGCUCGCGUGGUUGUGAAUGGCACGAUCUGUAGAUCUACGAGAAUUGAAUAUAAUUUGUACCAUGAGAAAAGAACGAAAACCUCUUAUGCGGUCGACGCGAUUUUUUCCCCGAUUUGGGUUCAAAUCGGUUGACAGAUUGCACCGACAAGUUUAGGCAUAGAGAAAUAAGUUUAGAGUGCUCACUCUAUAAGGUAGAAGUACUAGUGCUCGACGCUGCACUAGUCACCGACAUGGGCACUUUAUUUCAUGGAAAUAUAGGUUAAAUUUGAACAACGAAGAUUUUUCUGUAUUAGAACUUAAUCCUUGUCACUUUGACAUAAAGUGCCCAUGUCGAGUACUAGUGCAGCGUCGAGCACUAGUACUUCUACCUUACAUGGCUUUCUUUACUUAUAAUAAGUAGUGCUUAUAUGAGGUAUGGUUAAACUUAUUAUUAACCUUUUAACCGCCGUAGUCUGAUUAUAAGACAUACAAUAUCCAGCUAAUUUCGCCGCGGUCUGAUAAAUAAAACAAAACUUCGUGUAACUUCGUAACGUCAGCGACAUGAGCACGUUUGAAGAAAAAUUCUAAGCGGUUAAAAGGUUAACUUUAAAACUUGCUUAAUAAUCAAUACUUAAUGAGCUUGAAUCGUAUGAUAAAUAAGUUUUUGGUAAACUCGCUAAAAGCCGCGUCCAGACAUGCGGUACUAAAUAUUGUAAGUAUUGUAGUAGUCGGCGAGACCCGCAUGUCUUCUGGACUUAUUAUAAAUGGGUUUUUAUUUAUGUAUGAAGUGAACAUUCUAUGAUUACUUAUUUCUCUAUGGUCCGAGUAUAUAUUGUAUCACCAAAAUAGGUCGAAAAUCAACGCAGAUGGGACGAUUUUAUCAUCGAUUUAUGUUCAAAUCGGUUGACAGAUCGCAAUGUUAACUUCUGGUAAAAUCGGCAAAUCUGUAGGUUGCUUAACCUUUUGAACGCCAAGAACACCUAAAAUCGUUACUUGUCGUGUCCACAGCGCCAAGGACGACUAUAGGUGUUAUGGCGGACGCCGUCGAAGUAACCUUCACACUUUCAAGUAAGGUUUACAUUAAAUCGCUUUCGCCCGUGAGUUUGGCGUUUAACCUCUGUGACGCUGGGUCAAACACAAAAGCUGUCACACGUCACCGAAGUGUCAAAACUGUUAUUUGAACUAUGAGCGUAGGUCUGUUGCUCUGUGGUAUGUGACGGAUUAAUCCGUCUUCGGCGUGGGGCCUUCGUAUAUUGGCGUCAAAAAGGUUAAGUGAAGUUUUUGGUCAUAACGUAAAGUGUUCCAAGGGUUAAAAUUAAAAACCUAUGUAUUUUUUUUACAGAUUUCUACGUGUUGGUAUAUUUAUUUUUGUAGACAAAUAGCUUUAUAUUAAUUUUACGUUUUAUAUAAAACGCGAUGAAGUAUUAUUUUACCAAAUGUAGCUAUAAUGUAUUGCACAAAUUCUUGUAUGACAACUGAUAUACAAAGUAAUAUAAGUUGUAUGUGUGUGUGUUAGAGAUUGCGUUUGAAAUAAUUCAAUAAAAUUGUUUAUCUA